AUCGCUUCUCGGCCUUUUGGCUAAGGAUCAAGUGUAGUAUCUGUUCUUAUCAGUUUAAUAUCUGAUACGUCCCCCAUCGGGGGACUAUACAUAUUAAAUGAUUUUUCGAACAGGGAGUCGAAGGGGGCUUGCUCCGUCCGCGUCCACGCAUCGACUCGGUAUUGCAGUACCUCCGAGAACGGUGCACCCUCU
rnacentral:snRNA from 1 species